rnacentral:misc_RNA from 1 species
GGAGGGGGCAGAGACAAAUAAAAAACACUCAGAAUUCACUCUCAAGAUGAUAUAAAAAUUUUAAGUAUGCAUUACAGCAGCACAAAUCACAAAAUUUAAUUUUUCCAUCAAUUUUCAUAGAAAUUAAUGAUAUCAACAAAAUUGCAUUGUUCACUUUCAACACUUAACAUAGUCGGUUAUUGUUCCUUUAAAGUUUAGUCAAGUAGGUAUAAAGAAAACUGUCAAAAUACCUUUGCAAC